rnacentral:rRNA from 1 species
UACGGAGGGUGCGAGCGUUGUCCGGAAUCACUGGGCGUAAAGGGCGCGUAGGCGGUCAGCACAAGUCAGUUGUGAAAUCUCCGGGCUUAACUCGGAAAGGUCAACUGAUACUGUGCGACUAGAGUGCGGAAGGGGCAACUGGAAUUCUCGGUGUAGCGGUGAAAUGCGUAGAUAUCGAGAGGAACACCUGCGGCGAAGGCGGGUUGCUGGGCCGACACUGACGCUGAGGCGCGAAAGCCAGGGGAGCGAACGGG